GAGGGUGAUCGGCCACACUGGAACUGAGACACGGUCCAGACUCCUACGGGAGGCAGCAGUAGGGAAUCUUCCGCAAUGGGCGAAAGCCUGACGGAGCAACGCCGCGUGAGUGAUGAAGGUCUUCGGAUCGUAAAACUCUGUUAUUAGGGAAGAACAUAUGUGUAAGUAACUGUGCACAUCUUGACGGUACCUAAUCAGAAAGCCACGGCUAACUACGUGCCAGCAGCCGCGGUAAUACGUAGGUGGCAAGCGUUAUCCGGAAUUAUUGGGCGUAAAGCGCGCGUAGGCGGUUUUUUAAGUCUGAUGUGAAAGCCCACGGCUCAACCGUGGAGGGUCAUUGGAAACUGGAAAACUUGAGUGCAGAAGAGGAAAGUGGAAUUCCAUGUGUAGCGGUGAAAUGCGCAGAGAUGUGGAGGAACACCAGUGGCGAAGGCGACUUUCUGGUCUGUAACUGACGCUGAUGUGCGAAAGCGUGGGGAUCAAACAGGAUUAGAUACCCUGGUAGUCCACGCCGUAAACGAU
rnacentral:rRNA from 1 species